AUUUUUUUUUUUUUUUUUUCUAUAACAUUGUUAAGGAAAGAUGCUCAACAAAGAGGGGUGUGGGAUUGGGGAGAAGUUUAGGAUAAAAACAAGAGAAGGCAUGGUAGACUGAUGUAUUUACCAAACAUAUAUAAACCAAGUGAAAGAUUAUUAAAAGAAAAAUUGUGCAACACUAAUAUAAGAAAGAUAAAAUACAGAUUCAACAUAAAAUUAGAUGAUAUAACUAAUUUCAUAAAGAAAAUAGUAAUCCAUGUUCCCAUGCUAAGCCCACUAGCAGAAGAACCAAAACAAAAAGGCAUUACCUUGGCACAGCUACUGCAAGGAGCAUCACAUUGAACCCAUGUUAAAUCACU
rnacentral:misc_RNA from 1 species